rnacentral:lncRNA from 1 species
GCCUGGCCCUCUGCCCUGGGUCCCAGCCUGGGGACUGUGCCCGCCUGGGCCCCCCCUUACCCACUCAGGACCCCUGUGUCCAGGGUCUGAGAGGACGGCGUCAGACCCAUGUCUAGCACUCCCACAUUCGGCCGGUCGGCCGUGGUGACCAGCUGGACGUGCCGGGCGCCCCACUCCUCUGAACGUGGGGCCGGCAGGCUCGUCUCUGUGACGGAACAACGGCAAGGGCGGCUGGGCUUCGAAAUGGGGAUCAGUUCUGAAAGAAGACUCCUGUCCCUCCCCUGGGCUCUGUGAGGAGGAGCCCAGCCCUCGUGGCCCUGGGCCAGCACCCGCUGGGCCUUACCGGCCGACCCUGUCUCCACAAUAACCAGGUGGGUUGGUUUCCUCUCGUUCCCGGAGUUUGGCAAUCAGCAGGGACCUCGGCUGCUCCUUGUGCAGCGUGUCUGGAGCGCAUGUAAGCAAGCUCACAGAGCGACAGGAAGGGCCCAGGGGACAUUGCAGGAUGGGGGCAUCUCGUGACCGGGUAGCGAGGCACCCCGUGUGUCACUGUGAGAAGGUGCCUGCCAGUCUGUGACCUGGUCUCCCUUAUACCUGCCCCUGAGUCAGCCUCCCAGCAAGCUGGCCUCCAGGAGAGAACCUCGCGCCUCUGACCACAGGUCACUGGGUCAGCACUUCCUGCCCACUGCCGGGCUCUCGCCUCAUGGGCUUCUGUGCAGGACACGUCCUUCCCCCGGGACCUGCUGUGUACCCCCGCCUCCGCCUCAUCUCAGGCCCCCGAAGCGCAGAAGUGGCCUGAGACCCCUCUUGAGGUGCUUCCAAGGUGUCCGGUGGACGAGGGGCGGCAGGCCCUGCCCCUGAUGCAUGAUGGAGACCAACCGCUGUUGACCCGCAGUCCGAGGGAAGGUAAUCGCUGCUGGAGGAGAAGCCUGCUCCCCGAGGGCCCACGCCCUGAGCUGUCCUGCCUGGGCCCAGAGCAGACCUGUGAGGACCACGUGAGAUGUCAUGGCCAGCACACCGCCGGCCGCUCCCGUCUGGAGGAGCAGGACGUCACCCUGGCCCCAGGCUCCGUCCUGAACACUGCAGUGUGUAGCACAAAAGUAGGAACACUAGGGACCACUCGAGGGCCACCCUGGAGAGCACCAAGUACCCGUGAAGGCGCUGUCCCCCAACAGGGCCACCUCACAGGUGCUGGGGCCGGACACCGGGUCUCACCACACUUCCCCCAGCCUGGCCAACACCCAAGGCCUGGACUCGCCUGCCUUCGUGUCUGCCCUCUCGUGGGCUUAGCGCGUGCUACUGACUUCAGUGUCUCCCAAAGAAAAUCCCCGGAAUCAACUCUCUGCACGUAUCCAGGAAAAGCCAGCUCACAGCGCCACCUUGUGGCCGGUGGGUCAAGAUGCAGAGCAGGUGGGAUCGGCCUCCUUCCAGGACUCUGCCGCCCAGCGGCCGCAGGCAGGAGCCCUCCUGCCCAGAUCCCGAGCGGGCUCCCUCCCACCAGCUUGCAAGAUCUGGGGUUCACUUCCCACACCAGCUGCAAGAAGGCUCUGCUGAUGUCCCUGUCCUCAGCAUCGGGGUCUAAAGCUGCCCUGGCUGGUGGUGUGGGCCAGGACCAGAGGGGGAGCAGUCCCCACAGCCAGGCAGGGCCUGAGCCUGACCCCAGCCACCGAGGCGAGGCCUCAGGAAGAGUGAGACCCCUGCCCUGGGCAGGGUGGGGCGGGGCCUGCACUCCCGGCUUCCAUCUCACCCUUUCCUGUUCUCAGUUCCUCCGUUUGUCCAAAGGCAGAUUGUACCAUAAAUCCGAUUUUAUCAGAAAUCACCUUCCAGCCUGCAGCAGGAGCUCUGUGGUGAGCGGCAGGGGCUCUAGUCAGUGUGGGCUCCUCCAAGCUCAGCUCACAGCUCCCUGUGUCCUGAAGGGCCCCUCCUGGCCUUUCCCCGGCCCACAGGGUCUUGGCCUCCACAGCUCUCAGCCUCAGGCUCCAGCCUCUCAUCUUGAGCAGGCCUGGGGGCAGUCAGAGCGCAGGGUGGGCGGGCUGCCGAGGCCUGCUGGCCCUCGCAGAUUCCACCUGAGCCUGGUGUCUGCAGGCCACGUGAGCUGCACCAGCAGCAGCAGCGGGAGCUUCAGGUGUGCACAGCAAGCUCCCCUGGGGUUUCCUCCUGCUUGGCAGAAGGGAAGAGUUCCUUCUCCCGGAGCCUGGCGGGAGCACAGGCCCCACUGCCCGUGGCCUCCCACUCCCCAUGUGGCCUAGGCUGGACACAGCUGAAGACCAAGGCUUGACACAGACUGAAAGUACAGAUCUGACCACAUCCAGGACCUCAUCACCCUGGAAACACCCAACAGAGCAAAGCCCCUGAGAGCUGUGAGCGCAGGGGUCAUCUGAGGCCCGAGGCCGUGUGCAGAGGCUCCAGAGAGAGGAGGCCCGUGCUGAGCCUGGGAAUAAGACACUGAAAAGAAGGCAUGACAGUGGCACUCGCCUGUGGGCUAGCCGCGGUGGUCAUGGUGGCCAGCCUCUAGACAGGCCAGGAGACGCUGCUGGUGCAAGUGUGGGUGGCCUGGUCUCCCGAAGGGGACUUGUUGGUGUGUACCAAAGCCAUGUGUGUAAGCCCUGGGCCCCGCGAGUCCCUAACCUGUGAGCACCCUGUCACAAUCGCUGGUCAGGGCCGUGGCCUGUGAGGCCCCAGGGCUUGGGGAGGCUGAGGUCUAUGAAGCAAUCGAUGGGACAGAGAAGAACGUGGGUGGAGACCACGUGCUACCAGGGUCUUGCAGAGCAAGGCCCCACCCACACAGAGGGCACAGGCCAGAACACCCGGGCAGAGUCCCCAGAUGGUCACCUUGGCAGCACGGCUCAUGUCAGAGAAGAUACAACACGGGGCUGAGCAUCUGCUCUUCCCACCUCACAAAAGUGGUCCCAUACGUCUGCCAGGUCCCAGACCUGCCAAGGCCACCAUCCUCCCUGCCCCAGCUGUGAGCACCGGAGGGGCAACACGAGAGCUGGGUGUCACACUCACAUCUGUGACACCUGCAGACUCUGCAGGAAGAGGAGGCUCAGUGCCUGUGGGGACUGUUUCCUUUAAUGAUGCUUUGAACGUUUGAUGGGGUGUAGUGUCCAUGGUGCCUGUUUAGUUUUUUAAAAAUAUAAUGAAAUAAACGUUUCAAGCGGGCACUAAUGUCAUCGCC